rnacentral:rRNA from 1 species
CCUACGGGUGGCAGCAGUGAGGAAUAUUGGUCAAUGGACGAGAGUCUGAACCAGCCAAGUAGCGUGAAGGAUGACUGCCCUAUGGGUUGUAAACUUCUUUUAUAUGGGAAUAAAAUGUUCCACGUGUGGGAUUUUGUAUGUACCAUAUGAAUAAGGAUCGGCUAACUCCGUGCCAGCAGCCGCGGUAAUACGGAGGAUCCGAGCGUUAUCCGGAUUUAUUGGGUUUAAAGGGAGCGUAGGUGGAUUGUUAAGUCAGUUGUGAAAGUUUGCGGCUCAACCGUAAAAUUGCAGUUGAAACUGGCAGUCUUGAGUACAGUAGAGUUGGGCGGAAUUCGUGGUGUAGCGGUGAAAUGCUUAGAUAUCACGAAGAACUCCGAUUGCGAAGGCAGUUCACUGGACUGCAACUGACACUGAGGCUCGAAAGUGUGGGUAUCAAACAGGAUUAGAUACACUGGUAGUC